GGAAGAGAGUUGUGUGUUGUGAGGAAGAGAGUUGUGGGAAAUGACAUAUAUAGAGAAAUAUGGUAAGUUUUACAUGGUUUUUACAUGGAAAAUUUACAACGCGUUUACAACGAAUUUAGGUAAGUUAAAGCACAUUGAAUACACGUUUUCACCUUUAUAUAACGGUAACAUGAUUCGUUGUAAUGUCGAUGUAACGUUUACAACUAUUUCGCAUUCCACGUACUUUCGUCGUAAACUUACAUUGACUUUACGACGAAAACGUUUCGUCGUAAAUUACCAUGGAGUUUACGACGAAGUUAUGUCUCGUCGUAAUUGCGUUGUAAAGCUUAUGUAAAUUUACGAGGAAAUUAUUUCCUCGUAAAACGCUGUUGUUACUGCUACGUUUUCUUGUACUGGUUGCGGUCUGCGGUUGGUUCAUUUUCAAUUUUUUUUUUAAAUCAGAAAACAAAAAAAAAACAAAAAAAAAUUUAUAUAAACUUUUACGUUUUCUAUUUUAAAUAAUAAAUUUAAUUAAUUUUAUUAAAUUUCUCUUAUACAAACCGCAGUUAAACACCAUUCAAACAUUUGUCCCGCACUUUUUAUUAUUUUGGUCACCAUUCACAUAUUUCUUAAACCGCUUCUAUUAGAUGAACCGCACUUGUCCCACAAUAUGCGUUUUUGUAACACAAACCGCUCUUAAACCGCACCGCACUAAUCAAUCCGCUUGUCCCGCACCGCCCAACCCGCUGUUACCAUUCGGAGCCUAUGUUGCUCUAAGUUUUUUGGUAGUUACCAAGUCGUUAAAAAGUAUGAGCGGUAUAUGUUUUUCACAAGUUACUUGUGAGUUACGUAUACAUAUAAGGUAGAAAACUAUGUUUAUUUUCCCCAUAUAGUUGGUUUACGUAUACAUAUUAAGUAGACAACUAUUUUUCUUUUCCCAUAUACUUGGUAUACUCAGUUUUUUUUUUUGUUUUUGAAGCUCUUUUACUAUUAAAAUGUAUUUGGUUUUUUUUUUGACAGUUUUUUUUUUGACAGAUUAAAAUGUACUUGGUAUACUUAGUUACUUGGUUCUAUAUGUGAAUUUACGAACAUUUUGUCCUACUUUUUGGGGAAUUUGGAAUUUGUGUGCUAUUCCGCUGAAUCAAAUCAGAAUGUUAUUUCAGUGACUCACUUCAACGUUCAAAACAUCGUUUUUCUGGGAAGAAAUAGUCAAACAUGAAUGAUGUCGAACGUCAUGACUCAUGAACUAUGGGACACGUAAAACUAAACAUGAUUUUUCUUUAUCGUUAGUCAAAUAAAACUAAUACAACAAGGCAUGACUAAUGCUUCUUCAGUAGAAACCGUGGUCGGUCCGAUUUUCCCCCUUUUAUUAUGAUUUUCAAAAUCAACUGUAUCAUUUUCGCAUAAUGAUUUUUAUUCUAGUAAAAACUGGGUAUUUGCAAAAUAAUAAACGACGAUAAUGUAAAUGCCUUUGUUAAUUUUUUGGAAUGGUUUUAUUUUGUGAUUUUAUUUGAAGCCUUUGAAAUGGCUUUAUUUUGUGAUUUUAUUCGAAGCCUUAGUAAUAUAUAUCAGACAGUUUAAUAUUAUAUCAUAGAAUGUAGAUUUUAUCUAAAAGGCUUAUUUACCAUCCUUUUUAUUAUUUUUUGGUCAAACAUAAAUUUUAGCUUACUCGUUCUCAAAGGAGAGAUUGUUCAAUCGAAAAAAGCUUAUUUACCAUCCGUUAUUAUAAAAUUUAAACAUUUUUUGUAUUAGGGGUUUCUAGAUUGAAAAAUUAUGUAACUUCAAUAUGAACCUCUCUCAUUGGUCCUGGAAAAGGAAAACUUAAUAUCGUCUGAUGACAUGCGCUUGUUUUCUAAGUUACUUGAUAGAUUAUAGAGCAACAUAAGGUGGCGUUAUGUAAAACUUAUAAUGUGUCAUGUGUAUACUGUCUAAAAUAUUGGGAUCAAUAGGAACUUAGGAAGUAUUAUUAACAAUGUAGAUAGCGCCCAUAACCAAACUAGGCUGACUAGCUACUCGACUAAUUUCUUAGCAAUGUAUAUGUUUUCUUCUUAAGAUAUAUUGAAACUUUAUACUUUUUUUUCUUUUUUUCAUUAUAUCUUAAGAAGAAAACAUAUACAAUGUAGAUAGCGCCCAUUUUUCAUUAAUUUGGGGUAUUCCAAACCUACGAAAGAUCUAGACUAAUCUCUAACGAAAAGUGCAAUCCAUAGAUAGAUCUUAUUUUCGGAUAUUCAAAUGGAAUGUAAGCAAUGAAUCCAUAUCUAUGUAGUCACAUGUAGAAUUAAAAAAUUUGCAUUAGAAAAAAAUCGAUCUAUGGUCUAUAUCAAUAUGGCAAUUCAUCUUCUGGUGAAAACCACUGUGCUGAAACCUUAUACAUACUACAUGAUACAUCUAUAUGCUGUGUUUUGCUCAUUCCCCUACUAGCUAUGUAAUAUGCAAUUAAAGAUAAACACAUCACGUGAGUUGGUUUUGUAGAAAGUGCUACAACGGAAAUCGACAAAAUCGCAGCUUUUGCAAUUCCAUGCUGUGAUAAAUUAAGACUUAUUUUUGGGUUUACUCCCUAGAAUAGAGUUAAUUUUUAUCACUAACCAAUAAAAUCUUGCUAUUUUAUAUUUAAUAUCUUUUAGAAAAGAGAAAUAAAAUAUUGGUAAGUUAUAUUAAGUUUUUAAAAUAAAAAGAUUAAAAAAAAGUAGUUACAAAAAAAAUUUAAAAAACUUUUUUUAAUAUCGUCAGCAAAACACUAAACCCUAAAUCAUAAAUCCUAAACUCUU